GGGACAGGGCUGGCACAUUGCACUUCCCGGUGGCAGGAGUUACUUCCUGACUGCGGCAAUACCCCGAGGACAAACUUCACGAAACCAAAGGAAAGAGAUCUGGAAAAUGGCAUUCUUUGAGCUUGUGAGUGAGAUGGAUGGAAGCCUCGAGGCUAAAGCCAAGGAGUUCUACUGUAAAGGAACCAACUGUGGCAUAAUAUUCGACAUUGACAAGGGCAAAAAACUUGCGGUCCUGGAGCAGGCCUUUGAGGCAAGUGGAAAUGAAGGCAUGAUGUUGUUAUAAUCUCACCUUCACAGGUUCAACUUUGUCUUCCAGAACAUCUCACUGGAUGAUCUCAGAGGCA